rnacentral:RNase_P_RNA from 1 species
ACAGCGUAGGAGGUAAUACCUCUCCACCGUGAGGUGAGGAUCAGAGCAACAGAGACGAGCCGAUUCAGUUCGGGUGAAACGGGCAAUCUCUACGCGCAGCAAUACCAAGUAGGCCAGCGCCAAAGUGGCGCGGUUCGCCGCGACAUCUUUAUCCUGUGGUCCGCAGGAAUGGCUGGCGGGUAGGUAGCACCGAGCCGGGUGGGCGACCCCCGGCCCAGAGUAAUGGCGGUCACGCCGGCGCGGUUUGUUUCGGCAGGCCGGGCCGGUGCACAGAAUCCGGCUUAUCGGCGGGCUUCACAC